GAUGAACGCUAGCUACAGGCUUAACACAUGCAAGUCGCGGGGCAGCAUGACAUCAGCUUGCUGAUGUUGAUGGCGACCGGCGCACGGGUGAGUAACGCGUAUCCAACCUGCCCUUUACUAUGGGACAGCCCGUCGAAAGGCGGAUUAAUACCGUAUGUUGUCAUGUUGAUGCAUAUUUUCAUGACCAAAGGCUUCGGCCGGUAAAGGAUGGGGAUGCGUCUGAUUAGCUUGCCGGCGGGGUAACGGCCCACCGGGGCGACGAUCAGUAGGGGUUCUGAGAGGAAGGUCCCCCACAUUGGAACUGAGACACGGUCCAA
rnacentral:rRNA from 1 species